rnacentral:rRNA from 1 species
GAUGAACGCUGGCGGCGUGCCUAAUACAUGCAAGUCGAGCGAACGGACGAGAAGCUUGCUUCUCUGAUGUUAGCGGCGGACGGGUGAGUAACACGUGGAUAACCUACCUAUAAGACUGGGAUAACUUCGGGAAACCGUAGCUAAUACCGGAUAAUAUUUUGAACCGCAUGGUUCAAAAGUGAAAGACUGUCUUGCUGUCACUUAUAGAUGGAUCCGCGCUGCAUUAGCUAGUUGGUAAGGUAACGGCUUACCAAGGCAACGAUGCAUAGCCGACCUGAGAGGGUGAUCGGCCACACUGGAACUGAGACACGGUCCAGACUCCUACGGGAGGCAGCAGUAGGGAAUCUUCCGCAAUGGGCGAAAGCCUGACGGAGCAACGCCGCGUGAGUGAUGAAGGUCUUCGGAUCGUAAAACUCUGUUAUUAGGGAAGAACAUAUGUGUAAGUAACUGUGCACAUCUUGACGGUACCUAAUCAGAAAGCCACGGCUAACUACGUG